UACGUAGGGGGCAAGCGUUGUCCGGAUUUCUUGGGCGUAAAGAGCGUGUAGGCGGCUAGAUAGGUCCGUUGUGAAAACUCGAGGCUCAACCUCGAGACGUCGAUGGAAACCAUCUGGCUAGAGUCCGGAAGAGGAGAGUGGAAUUCCUGGUGUAGCGGUGAAAUGCGCAGAUAUCAGGAAGAACACCCGUGGCGAAGGCGGCUCUCUGGGACGUGACUGACGCUGAGACGCGAAAGCGUGGGGAGCAAACAGG
rnacentral:rRNA from 1 species